UAGUGAUCUUUUAAAACCAGGAAAAGCUUUGAGUGCCUCAGGUAAAAAAAAGGUGGUCCCCCUUUCAAUCCUUCUUUAGCAAUCUUGUUUUUGUUUAAUCACAAUUUCGGAGGGUAUAAGAAGACUCCCUUGUAGUAAAUAAUGAGUUCAGACAGCAGGCCGGUGGUCAGAUGCAGUUCAAACGUAUCAGGGGAGAGUUUUUUUUAUUUUUCAUUUUAGCAGUUUAUAUUUAUUUUAUGGCUAUUUAAAAGCUGUUUCCUAUAGGGGUCUAUGAAUAUUUUGCAGUGUGGAGGGGCUUUUCCUUAAGCUGUGCCCUAUCUGUGCUGACAUUUUCUGUUUUAUUUGCCAGGAGCAGGGCCUGCUGUUCUCUUAUGCAUGUGUGAGAGUAAAAAAACUGUUGUCUAUGCCAUUUAUUAUGAGCCUGAUAAAUGCAAUUAAACAGCCUAAUCCAGUAUUGUCAAUAUAAGGGAUAGGUAUCGGUUUUAAUAUUCAAACCGAUAUUUAUUGGUUGCCAAUAAGUCUUUAAUUUUGGUAAUAUAAUCUAUCCAAACCAAUCAAAAGCUUAAUGAGAGCCAAAUUACUGGCUCUAAUUAAAUGGAGGCCUAAGUGAUUGUUGGCUUGCAUGUUUACUGUUCCACGUUCAAAACAUUAACCCAUGACACUAAUUGUGCCAUAGUUAUACCACUUUUCUCACAGAAACAGUUUUAUACAUAACCACUAUAUUUGUAUGAGAUUCACAUAGUCUCAUACAAAUUUGCUAC